rnacentral:lncRNA from 1 species
GAGCCACAGCCCUGAGGACAGGGACCUGCUAGGGGAGGCCCCAGAAGAACAGAGCAAGGAGUUUUGGGAGACUUCAGCUCACAGCUCAUGACUCAGGUUACUCAGGCCCUGCCCGCCAAGGGACACCCUUCUGGCAGGGACCUGGACAGGUGUCAAGCACCCAGGGAGGAUGUAAGCCCUCUGUCUCCUGUGGCUCCUCUUCCCAUUAUAAUCACCCAUACACGGGGACACAUGAGAGCUUCCUGUCCACUUGAUGACCAGUGGAGCCUCUGAUGACCUGAGUGGGGCAGGGCCUCAGAGUUCUGCCAAGAGCCCUG